CAGGAGACAACAAAAUGUUUAAUAUUAUUAUUUUGUCACCUUAGGUCGAUCGGUAUCUCACAUUCUUAAUUUAUUAAGAAUUUCAAUUCCUAAGUUUUUCUAGGUCACACCCAUUAUUUUUCCUGGGCCAUUAGCCCAGGUGGUUAGAGCGCACCCCUGAUAAGGGUGAGGUCCCUGGUUCAAGUCCAGGAUGGCCCAUAUCUCUAUGUUGGGGGUAUAGCUCAGUUGGUAGAGCGCCUGCUUUGCAAGCAGGAUGUCAGCGGUUCGAGUCCGCUUACCUCCACUGAUUACCACCUCUUCCAUAAUCUGGAGAAAGGAAAUGUUUUGAGUUGUGAUCAAAUACUGAACGAAUCUAGCUUCCUAAUGAAGUCAUUAAGAUGCUGGACUCAUUGAAUUAAUUUCAUUGUUUUCAGAGAACCUUGACAACUGCAUAGAUUAUUUUUUUUAAAGACAAUAAGCAUCUUUAAUGAUGCAGAUUUAUUAUUUGUGCGAACGCACUAAUAACAAUUCUAUUAAGCUGAUGCUUCAA
rnacentral:tRNA from 1 species